rnacentral:tRNA from 1 species
GGGAGCUUAGUUAAGUGGUAUAACUCCGGUCUCCAAAACCGGUGUCGGGGGUUCGAUUCCCUCAGCUCCUGCCA